AACGUAGGAGACAAACGUUAUCCGGAGUUACUGGGCGUAAAGGGCUGGUAGGCGGCCAACUAAGUCGGAUGUGAAAUCCCCAGGCUUAACCUGGGAACUGCAUCCGAUACUGGUCGGCUUGAAUCCGGGAGAGGGAUGUGGAAUUCCAGGUGUAGCGGUGAAAUGCGUAGAUAUCUGGAGGAACACCGGUGGCGAAGGCGGCAUCCUGGACCGGUAUUGACGCUGAGGAGCGAAAGCCAGGGGAGCAAAACGG
rnacentral:rRNA from 1 species